rnacentral:rRNA from 1 species
GUGGGGAAUCUUCCGCAAUGGACGAAAGUCUGACGGAGCAACGCCGCGUGAGUGAUGAAGGUCUUCGGAUUGUAAAGCUCUGUUAAUCGGGACGAAAGAGCCUAGUGUGAAUAAUGCUAGGAAGUGACGGUACCGGAAUAGAAAGCCACGGCUAACUACGUGCCAGCAGCCGCGGUAAUACGUAGGUGGCAAGCGUUGUCCGGAAUUAUUGGGCGUAAAGCGCGCGCAGGCGGAUCUGCCAGUCUGUCUUAAAAGUUCGGGGCUUAACCCCGUGAUGGGAUGGAAACUACAGAUCUAGAGUAUCGGAGAGGAAAGUGGAAUUCCUAGUGUAGCGGUGAAAUGCGUAGAUAUUAGGAAGAACACCAGUGGCGAAGGCGACUUACUGGACGACUGUUGACGCUGAGGUGCGAAAGCGUGGGGAGCAAACAGGAUUAGAUACCCCGGUAGUCC